rnacentral:piRNA from 1 species
UCCAAAAACAAUAUUCGAAUA